UUUCUCCAGGCAAGAAUACUGGAGUCGGUUGCCAUUCCCUUCUCCAGGUAAAUUGAGAUAGUAAAGAAUCUGCCUGCAAUGCGGGAGACCUGGAUUUGAUCCCUGGGUUGGGAAGAUCCCCUGGAGAAGGGAAUGGCUACCCACUGCAGUAUUCUUGCCUGGAGAAUUCCAUGGACGGAGGAGUCUGGCCGGCUACAAUCCAUGGGGUUGCAAAGAGCCAGACAUGACUGAGGGACUUUCACUUUCUUCAGGGGAUCUUCCAGACCCAGGGAUUGAACCAACCUCUCCUCCUUUGAAGGCAGAUUCUUUACCUUCUGAGCCAGCAGGGAUGCCCCUUCAAUUGCUUACUGAGUGCAUAUUAUACACCAAGGAUUGCCUAGACAUUGAAAUAUCACAGGGAACAAGACAGAUGACACUAUGUAACCUUUGGUUGCUGCUGCUGCAUUUGGGGAAACUGGGAGCUUACAUGACUUCAUGGCACCAGGAGAGAGAACUCAGAUCCACAUGUCUCCUGCUUCCUAGCUUGGCCUCUGGACUGCUCUUACCCAAUCUUUUGUUACUCACUGGCACACACACGUGGGGUCUGAGUUCUCAGACACUUCCUUCUGAUUUGAAAAAGUACUACAUACUGAGGUUUUUUCCAUCCUGACUCCAGAUUGGCUAUUCCAUCAGACCUAAGCCCCUUUCUGGUACCUUACUAAGGCAGUUGGGAACUCCUAUAUCUUCUAUAUGACACACACAGGCUAUAGAGAACUGCCUCUGCUCUCCUGCCUGCUCUGAGACCACACCAUCAUUCUUCCCAGGCCAGAUAUAGAGAAGCCAAAGGCUGGGCUUCCAGAGGCCUGCAGCCUCUCCAAAUCAUGCCCUGGGAAUGGAGUCACCAAAUUCAAUCAACUUGGGCUCCCCAGUGCCCAACUAGAUGUCUCGACAGUCUCCUCACCUUGAAGUUCAGCCAGGAAGGAGGGCCUGGAACUCUGGCAUUGGCAUCUGACCAUCUCCAUCUCCCUCUGGAUCUACUCUCCUUCCUUUCCCCCACUUACACCUCUUCAGAUUGAAUGAUCCUCACCACAGCCUCCUAUCCUGGGGGACACCAGGCCUCAUGAAUAAUGGCUAAAGGAGUAUCUUCUCUACCUCGGGCUGGGUUGAUGUUGAAGCCUCAGUAACUCUAAGAUCCAUGAGUUACAGAGGAUGAAAAUACAUAGGUUUAGUACUCUCGAAAUAUUGUAUAUGAAUACUUCAGUAUUCCCCAUUAUAUAUGAAUACUUCAAAGCAGCGAUCAACAAAAGUAGAACACAGUAAGAAUUCUGACUAAUGUUCUACUGAUAGUAUUUUCAUAGCUAAAAAAAAAGAUCCUUGGUUCCUCUGCUUACUAAAGUCAUGCAUGCUUAUUUUAAAACCAACAGAACAACCUAAAAUACAUUUCUAAAUGUACAGUGAGGGCAGGAGAGUUCCUUAGUUCUGGAUUGGCCAAGGACCACCGCUCACAGAACAGCACAGCUUACAAGAGAUUUCUCCUUUAGAAGGUGGCAGGGUCUAGGGGCAUUGUCCUUACAACUGGAAAUCUCUCUUCCUUUUGAGAGUCAGAACCCGGCAAGGAUAUUUUCCCUCGAGUUUGGGGAUUAUGAGCUUGAGAAUAAGAAUAUGACCCA
ensembl:lncRNA